rnacentral:rRNA from 1 species
GGGGAAUAUUGGACAAUGGGCGCAAGCCUGAUCCAGCCAUGCCGCGUGUGUGAAGAAGGUCUUCGGAUUGUAAAGCACUUUAAGUUGGGAGGAAGGUCAGUAGCUUAAUACGUUGCUGAUUUGACGUUACCGACAGAAUAAGCACCGGCUAACUCUGUGCCAGCAGCCGCGGUAAUACAGAGGGUGCAAGCGUUAAUCGGAAUUACUGGGCGUAAAGCGCGCGUAGGUGGUUUUGUAAGUUGGAGGUGAAAUCCCCGGGCUCAACCUGGGAACUGCCUCCAAAACUGCAAAGCUAGAGUACGGUAGAGGGUGGUGGAAUUUCCUGUGUAGCGGUGAAAUGCGUAGAUAUAGGAAGGAACACCAGUGGCGAAGGCGACCACCUGGACUGAUACUGACACUGAGGUGCGAAAGCGUGGGGAGCAAAC